rnacentral:rRNA from 1 species
CUAAACAAGUAUUAAAGGCAACGCCUGCCCGGUGAAUAAUUUAACGGCCGCGGUACCCUAACCGUGCAAAGGUAGCAUAAUCAUUUGUCUAUUAAUUGUAGACCUGUAUGAAAGGCAAAAUGAGAGCCCAACUGUCUCUUAUAACAAAUCAAUUAAACUGAUCUCCUAGUACAAAAGCUAGAAUACUAACAUAAGACCAGAAGACCCUGUGAAGCUUUAACAAACCCAUUAAACCAAAUAAUGAUUACUUUCGGUUGGGGCGACCUUGGAAUAAAAAAGAACUUCCAAAGGCAAACAAGCCAAUAUUAGAUCCAGCAUAGCUGAUGAAAUAAGUUACUCCAGGGAUAACAGCGCUAUCUUCUUCAAGAGCCCAUAUCAAAAAGAAGGUUUACGACCUCGAUGUUGGAUCAGGACAUCCCAGUAAUGCAACCGUUACUAAAGGUUCGUUUGUUCAACGAUUAACAGUCCUACGUGAUCUG